rnacentral:rRNA from 1 species
AUAGCCUUUCGAAAGAAAGAUUAAUACCCGAUAGUAUAGUAUUUCCGCAUGGUUUCACUAUUAAAGAAUUUCGGUUAUCGAUGGGGAUGCGUUCCAUUAGAUAGUUGGCGGGGUAACGGCCCACCAAGUCAACGAUGGAUAGGGGUUCUGAGAGGAAGGUCCCCCACAUUGGAACUGAGACACGGUCCAAACUCCUACGGGAGGCAGCAGUGAGGAAUAUUGGUCAAUGGACGAGAGUCUGAACCAGCCAAGUAGCGUGAAGGAUGACUGCCCUAUGGGUUGUAAACUUCUUUUAUACGGGAAUAAAGUGGAGUAUGCAUACUCCUUUGUAUGUACCGUAUGAAUAAGGAUCGGCUAACUCCGUGCCAGCAGCCGCGGUAAUACGGAGGAUCCGAGCGUUAUCCGGAUUUAUUGGGUUUAAAGGGGGCGUAGGCGGGUGCUUAAGUCAGUUGUGAAAGUUUGCGGCUCAACCGUAAAAUUGCAGUUGAUACUGGGCGCCUUGAGUGCAGCAUAGGUAGGCGGAAUUCGUGGUGUAGCGGUGAAAUGCUUAGAUAUCACGAAGAACUCCGAUUGCGAAGGCAGCUUACUGGACUGUAACUGACGCUGAUGCUCGAAAGUGUGGGUAUCAAACAGGAUUAGAUACCCUGGUAGUCCACACAGU